UACAGAGGUCUCGAGCGUUGUUCGGAUUCAUUGGGCGUAAAGGGUGCGUAGGUGGCGCUGUAAGUCGGGUGUGAAAUCCUGAGGCUUAACCUCGGAACUGCAUUCGAUACUGCGGCGCUUGAGGACUGGAGAGGAGACUGGAAUUCAUGGUGUAGCGGUGAAAUGCGCAGAUAUCAGGAGGAACACCGGUGGCGAAGGCGGGUCUCUGGGCCGAUACUGACGCUGAGGAGCGAAAGCGUGGGGAGCGAACAGG
rnacentral:rRNA from 1 species